GAUGAACGCUGGCGGCGUGCCUAAUACAUGCAAGUCGAGCGAACAGACGAGGAGCUUGCUCCUCUGACGUUAGCGGCGGACGGGUGAGUAACACGUGGAUGACCUACCUAUAAGACUGGGAUAACUUCGGGAAACCGGAGCUAAUACCGGAUAAUAUAUUGAACCGCAUGGUUCAAUAGUGAAAGACGGUUUUGCUGUCACUAUUAGAGGAACCGCGCCGCAUUAGCUAGUUGGUAAGGUAACGGCUUACCAAGGCAACGAUGCGUAGCCGACCUGAGAGGGUGAUCGGCCACACUGGAACUGAGACACGGUCCAGACUCCUACGGGAGGCAGCAGUAGGGAAUCUUCCGCAAUGGGCGAAAGCCUGACGGAGCAACGCCGCGUGAGUGAUGAAGGUCUUCGGAUCGUAAAACUCUGUUAUUAGGGAAGAACAAAUGUGUAAGUAACUAUGCACGUCUUGACGGUACCUAAUCAGAAAGCCACGGCUAACUACGUG
rnacentral:rRNA from 1 species